rnacentral:tRNA from 1 species
AAUUAGAAAGCGAAUAAUUGCAUUUAGUUUCGACCUAAACCUUAGGCCCUCAAGCCUUCUAAUUU